rnacentral:rRNA from 1 species
GUGUCAGCAGCCGCGGUAAUACGUAUGGGGCGAGCGUUGUUCGGAGUUAUUGGGCGUAAAGGGCGUGUAGGCGGCGCGCGGCGUCCGGUGUGAAAACGCAGGGCUCAACCCUGCGGUUGCGCUGGAAACGGGCGUGCUAGAGUCCCGGGGGGGAAGCUGGAAUUCCUGGUGUAGGAGUGAAAUCUGUAGAGAUCAGGAAGAACACCGGUGGCGAAGGCGAGCUUCUAUUCGAGGACUGACGCUGAGGCGCGAAAGCGUGGGGAGCAAACAGGAUUAGAUACCCUGGUAGUCCACGCUGUAAACGAUGUGCACUAGGCGUGGGACACGUCGGUGUUCUGUGCCGUAGCCAACGCGAUAAGUGCACCGCCUGGGGAGUAUGCUCGCAAGGGUGAAACUUAAAGGAAUUGGCGGGG